AUACGGAGGGUGCAAGCGUUGUUCGGAAUUACUGGGCGUAAAGCGCGUGUAGGCGGCUUGGAAAGUCGGAUGUGAAAGCCCGAGGCUCAACCUCGGAACUGCAUUCGAAACUUCCAGGCUAGAGUCCUGGAGAGGAUGGUGGAAUUCCCAGUGUAGAGGUGAAAUUCGUAGAUAUUGGGAGGAACACCAGUGGCGAAGGCGGCCAUCUGGACAGUGACUGACGCUGAGACGCGAAAGCGUGGGGAGCAAACAGAAUUAGAUACCCCAGUAGUCC
rnacentral:rRNA from 1 species